GACGAACGCNGGCGGCGUGCCUAAUACAUGCAAGUAGAACGCUGAAGCUUGGUGCUUGCACCGAGCGGAUGAGUUGCGAACGGGUGAGUAACGCGUAGGUAACCUGCCUGGUAGCGGGGGAUAACUAUUGGAAACGAUAGCUAAUACCGCAUGAUAUUGAUUAUUGCAUGAUAGUCAAUUAAAAGGUGCAAUUGCAUCACUACCAGAUGGACCUGCGUUGUAUUAGCUAGUUGGUGAGGUAACGGCUCACCAAGGCAACGAUACAUAGCCGACCUGAGAGGGUGAUCGGCCACACUGGGACUGAGACACGGCCCAGACUCCUACGGGAGGCAGCAGUAGGGAAUCUUCGGCAAUGGACGGAAGUCUGACCGAGCAACGCCGCGUGAGUGAAGAAGGUUUUCGGAUCGUAAAGCUCUGUUGUAAGAGAAGAACGAGUGUGAGAGNGGAAAGUUCACACNGNGACGG
rnacentral:rRNA from 1 species